rnacentral:rRNA from 1 species
AUGAACGCGGCGGUCUGCUUAACACUGCCAGUCGAACGGGAGUAGCAUACUCCAGUGGCGGACGGGUGAGUAACGCGUGAGAAUCUGCCUUUUGGUCGGGGACAACCACUGGAAACGGUGGCUAAUACCGGAUGUGCCUGCGGGUAAAAGAUUAAUUGCCAGAAGAGGAGCUCGCGUCUGAUUAGCUAGUUGGUAGGGUAAAAGCCUACCAAGGCAUCAGAUCAGUAGCUGGUCUGAGAGGACGAUCAGCCACACUGGGACUGAGACACGGCCCAGACUCCUACGGGAGGCAGCAGUGGGGAAUUUUCCGCAAUGGGCGAAAGCCUGACGGAGCAAGACCGCGUGAGGGGAGAAGGCUCUUGGGUCGUAAACCUCUUUUGUUACGGGAAGAACAACAAUGACGGUACUACGAAUCAGCCUCGGCUAACUCCGUGCCAGCAGCCGCGGUAAUACGGAGGAGGCAAGCGUUAUCGGAAUUAUUGGGCGUAAAGCGUCCGCAGGUGGCGAUUCAAGUCUGCGGUCAAAGACUGGGGCUUAACCCUGGAAAGGCCGUGGAACUGAAAAGCUAGAGUGCAAGUAGGGGUAGAGGGAAUUCCCGUCCCGGUGUAGCGGUGAAAUGCGUAGAGCUCGGGAAGAACAUCGGUGGCGAAAGCGCUCUGCUGGACUGCAACUGACACUCAUGGACGAAAGCUAGGGGAGCGAAUGGGAUUAGAUACCCCAGUAGUCCUAGCCGUAAACGAUGGAUACUAGGUGUGGCUUGUAUCGACCCGAGCCCGUGCCGUAGCUAACGCGCUUACAGUAUCCCGCCUGGGGAGUACGCACGCAAGUGUGAAACUCAAAGGAAUUGACGGGGGCCCGCACAAGCGGUGGAGUAUGUGGUUUAAUUCGAUGCAACGCGAAGAACCUUACCAGGGGCCUGACAUGUCGCGAAUCUUUGGGGAAACCUAAGAGUACCUUCGGGAGCGCGAACACAGGUGGUGCAUGGACUUGUCGUCAGCUCGUGUCGUGAGAUCGUUGUGGGUUAAGUCCCGCCAACGGACGCGCAACCCUCGUCUUUAUGUUGCCAGCAUUAAGUUGGGCACUCUAGAGAGACUGCCGGUGACCAACCCCGGAGGAAGGUUGGGUAUGACGUCAAGUCAGCAUGCCCCUUACGUCCUGGGCUACACCACGUACUACACAUGCGACGGACAAAGGGGCAGCAAGCCAGCGAAUGGCGAAGCCCAAUCCCAUCAAACCGUGGCUCAGUUCAGAUAGCAGGCUGCAACCUCGCCUGUGUGAAGGAGGAAUUCGCUAGUAAUCUUGCAGGUCAGCAAUACUGCAGUGAAUUCGUUCCCGGGCCUUGUACCAAACACCGCCCGUCCACACCAUGGAAUGUUGGCCACGCCCGAAGUCGGGAUUAUAAACCCGGCACUACCGAUGGGUUGCGGAGGGGGACGGCCGAGAGGCAUG